UCGGCGAAAUCGCUCGCCGAUAGUGCGUGCCGGUAACGGGAACGCAGUGAGGUCUUGCCGGGCCAAUUCUGCGGCUGUCCCUGCAACUGUAAGCGGCGAGCGCGUGACAUGAGUGGGGUUCGCUCCACGACCACUGGGCGGCGAUGUCCGUCUGGGAAGGUAUGUCGCGUGCAGUGACCCGUGAGCCAGGAGACCGACCGGUGCGUGUCGCUCUUG
rfam:Erythrobacter litoralis HTCC2594, complete genome.